CUACUAUGUUCAGAGUUUGAUCCUGGCUCAGGAUGAACGCUAGCUACAGGCUUAACACAUGCAAGUCGAGGGGCAGCAUGGACAUAGCUUGCUAUGUUUGAUGGCGACCGGCGCACGGGUGCGUAACACGUAUCCAAUCUGCCCGUUACUCGGGGAUAGCCUUCUGAAAGGAAGAUUAAUACCCGAUGGCAUUCAUUAGCGGCAUCGCUUAUGAAUUAAAGAUUAAUCGGUAACGGAUGAGGAUGCGUACGAUUAGCUUGUUGGCGGGGUAACGGCCCACCAAGGCGACGAUCGUUAGGGGUUCUGAGAGGAAGGUCCCCCACACUGGAACUGAGACACGGUCCAG
rnacentral:rRNA from 1 species